CUGAUCAAGCGUCGUUACAAACCAUAAAAACGAGAUUAAGUGUUUUGCUUAGAUUGAAAAACAGGAUUUGGUUUCCAUCGCGGUCGAACUGAGAGAACGCUGCUGUGAUUUCAUGGUCAUCGUGUCCCAUCCUAGGGAAUCAUCACAUCGGGUAGGUGGGCUCCCCCUGAGACAUUGGAGCUGAUUCAUCCGGGAGACACUCAAAACACUACCACUGUUCCCUCACUUCAAGAAAAUCCAGUGGCUCGGACAUCUUUUCAGAAGCCAUCUGGACGCUACCCUGAUUGACCGGACGCAUCACUUUGUUCGUCCUCCUCGUCCUCUGGCAGCUUGAAGUGCACGCGCCUUUUGCUGGAGCGAGAAUCCCUGUGGUUGGUCAGCGUUCCCGACUUCAGACACGAGUUAG